CCUGGCGGUAGGUUUAACACAUGACAGUCGUGCGAGAAAAUAUCGUCGGAUAUGAUUAGAGCGGCGAACGGCUGAGUAACGCGUAGGAAUGUACCUAGUAGAAGGGGAUAGCCCGGGGAAACUCGGAUUAAUACCGUAUACCUCCUUUGGGAGAAAGAAGGCCUCUCUUUGAAGCUUUCGCUAUUAGAUCAGCCUGCGUAAGAUUAGCUUGUUGGUGAGGUAAUGGCUCACCAAGGCUACGAUCUUUAGCUGGUCUGAGAGGACGAUCAGC
rnacentral:rRNA from 1 species